rnacentral:rRNA from 1 species
GACGAACGCUGGCGGCGUGCCUAAUACAUGCAAGUCGAGCGAAUCAAUGGGAGCUUGCUCCCUGAGAUUAGCGGCGGACGGGUGAGUAACACGUGGGUAACCUGCCUGUAAGACUGGGAUAACUUCGGGAAGCCGGAGCUAAUACCGGAUACGUUCUUUUCUCGCACGAGGAGAGAUGGAAAGAUGGUUCUGCUAUCACUUACAGAUGGACCCGCGGCGCAUUAGCUAGUUGGGGAGGUAACGGCUCACCAAGGCGACGAUGCGUAGCCGACCUGAGAGGGUGAUCGGCCACACUGGGACUGAGACAAGGCCCAGACUCCGACGGGAGGCAGCAGUAGGGAAUCUUCCGCAAUGGACGAAAGUCUGACGGAGCAACGCCGCGUGAGCGAAGAAGGCCUUCGGGUCGUAAAGCUCUGUUGUUAGGGAAGAACAAGUACGAGAGUAACUGCUCGUACCUUGACGGUACCUAACCAGAAAGCCACGGCUAACUACGUGCCAGCCGCCGCCGUAA